GAUGAACGUUGGCGGCGUGCCUAACACAUGCAAGUCGAGCGAACCCUUCGGGGUGAGCGGCGGACGGGUGAGUAACGCGUGGGUAACCUGCCCUGUACACACGGAUAACAUACCGAAAGGUAUGCUAAUACGAGAUAAUAUAUUUUAAUCGCAUGGUUAAGAUAUCAAAGCUCCGGCGGUACAGGAUGGACCCGCGUCUGAUUAGCUAGUUGGUGAGGUAAUGGCUCACCAAGGCGACGAUCAGUAGCCGACCUGAGAGGGUGAUCGGCCACACUGGAACUGAGACACGGUCCAGACUCCUACGGGAGGCAGCAGUGGGGAAUAUUGCACAAUGGGCGAAAGCCUGAUGCAGCAACGCCGCGUGAGCGAUGAAGGCCUUCGGGUCGUAAAGCUCUGUCCUCAAGGAAGAUAAUGACGGUACUUGAGGAGGAAGCCCCGGCUAACUAC
rnacentral:rRNA from 1 species